rnacentral:rRNA from 1 species
AAUCAACGCUGGCGGCGUGCCUAACACAUGCAAGUCGAACGCGAAAGGGGAGCAAUCCCUGAGUAGAGUGGCAAACGGGUGAGUAACGCGUGGGUGACCUGCCCUCGAGUGGGGGAUAACGUCCCGAAAGGGGCGCUAAUACCGCAUAACAUUCUGGGUUUGAACAUCUGGAAAUCAAAGCUGGGGAUCGCAAGACCUGGCGCUUGAGGAGGGGCCCGCGUCCGAUUAGCUAGUUGGUGGGGUAAAAGCCUACCAAGGCGACGAUCGGUAUCCGGCCUGAGAGGGCGGACGGCCACACUGGAACUGAGACACGGUCCAGACUCCUACGGGAGGCAGCAGUGGGGAAUUGUUCACAAUGGGCGCAAGCCUGAUGACGCAAUGCCGCGUGCAGGAAGAAGGCCUUCGGGUUGUAAACUGCUUUUGUACGGAACGAAACGGCUCUGGUUAAUACCUGGGGCUAAUGACGGUACCGUAAGAAUAAGCACCGGCUAACUACGUGCCAGCAGCCGCCGUAAUAC